rnacentral:rRNA from 1 species
UACGGGGGGGGGCUAGCGUUGUUCGGAAUUACUGGGCGUAAAGGGCGCGUAGGCGGUCUGCUAAGUUGGAUGUGAAAACUCUGGGCUUAACCCAGAGCCUGCAUUCAAUACUGACAGGCUAGAGUUCUGGAGGGGAUAGCGGAAUUCCUGGUGUAGCGGUGAAAUGCGUAGAUAUCAGGAGGAACACCGGUGGCGGAAGGCGGCUAUCUGGACAGAGUCUGACGCUGAGGCACGAAGGUCAGGGGGAGCAAAACGGGG